AUACGGAGGGGGCUAGCGUUGUUCGGAAUUACUGGGCGUAAAGCGUACGUAGGCGGACUGAUCAGUUGGGGGUGAAAUCCCAGGGCUUAACCCUGGAACUGCCUUCAAUACUGUCAGUCUUGAGAUUGGAAGAGGUGAGUGGAAUUACUAGUGUAGAGGUGAAAUUCAUAGAUAUUAGGAGGAACACCAGUGGCGAAGGCGGCUCACUGGUCCAAUACUGACGCUGAGGUACGAAAGCGUGGGGAGCAAACAGGAUUAGAUACCCUAGUAGUCC
rnacentral:rRNA from 1 species